rnacentral:rRNA from 1 species
CCUAACACAUGCAAGUCGAACGGUAACAGGAAGCAGCUUGCUGCUUCGCUGACGAGUGGCGGACGGGUGAGUAAUGUCUGGGAAGCUGCCUGAUGGAGGGGGAUAACUACUGGAAACGGUAGCUAAUACCGCAUAAUGUCGCAAGACCAAAGAGGGGGACCUUCGGGCCUCUUGCCAUCGGAUGUGCCCAGAUGGGAUUAGCUUGUUGGUGGGGUAACGGCUCACCAAGGCGACGAUCCCUAGCUGGUCUGAGAGGAUGACCAGCCACACUGGAACUGAGACACGGUCCAGACUCCUACGGGAGGCAGCAGUGGGGAAUAUUGCACAAUGGGCGCAAGCCUGAUGCAGCCAUGCCGCGUGUAUGAAGAAGGCCUUCGGGUUGUAAAGACUUUC